CAGCAGCCGCGGUAAUACGAAGGGGGCUAGCGUUGUUCGGAUUUACUGGGCGUAAAGCGCACGUAGGCGGACUUUUAAGUCAGGGGUGAAAUCCCGGGGCUAAACCCCGGAACUGCCUUUGAUACUGGAAGUCUUGAGUAUGGUAGAGGUGAGUGGAAUUCCGAGUGUAGAGGUGAAAUUCGUAGAUAUUCGGAGGAACACCAGUGGCGAAGGCGGCUCACUGGACCAUUACUGACGCUGAGGUGCGAAAGCGUGGGGAGCAAACAGGAUUAGAUACCCGUGUAGUCCCUGUCUCUUAUAC
rnacentral:rRNA from 1 species